rnacentral:rRNA from 1 species
CAGUAGCCACGGGAAUACGAAGGAUGCAAGCGUUAAUCGGAAUUACUGGGCGUAAAGCGUGCGUAGGCGGUGAGUUAAGUCUGCUGUGAAAUCCCCGGGCUCAACCUGGGAAUGGCAGUGGAUACUGGCUCGCUAGAGUGUGUCAGAGGAUGGUGGAAUUCCCGGUGUAGCGGUGAAAUGCGUAGAGAUCGGGAGGAACAUCAGUGGCGAAGGCGGCCAUCUGGGACAACACUGACGCUGAGGCACGAAAGCGUGGGGAGCAAACAGGAUUAGAUACCCCUGUAGUCCCUGUCUCUUAUAC